AAAACGUGAAUGAAAAGACCGUGGAGGCCGCGCGCAGUUUUAGUGCUUAUAUAAUAAACAGAGAGUCAAGGAAGGCUGCGCGUGAUCAAUCUUACUCACCAAAAGGUCUGACAACAUCGCGCCCCCACAACAUAUUUCAACUCUCUAACUCGGCGCAAGAUCCAAAAAGCAACCAGAAAGAGACAAACAAGACACUAUGCAGACGUUCUCUCCUUUUGAUUCCGUUUAACACUCAAAAUGACGCAAAUUCUCUUUUGGAUAAAAAUUAAUAUUAAGGCAAUGUAAGUGGGGACCUGGGAAGCUGUCAGAGUGUAAUGGAUUAGUCUGCUCGGAGGAGCGAGGCCUCUACUGCUAGACCUCAACACACAGCAAGAUGGAAGAAACGACUGAACAUCACGCAUUACAUGUGCAGCAAUAAUCACUUUGUUAUGUAAUUCUAGGGAACAUACUUUUUCAUAAGCACAUUGAACAUAAGCUUUUGAAUUAUUAUUAUUGUUGUUGUUGUUGUUGUGGUGGUGGUGGUGGUGGUGGUGGUAAUUUGUCUCUGCUUUAUCGCCAGUUAAAUAAUGCAAUUCUUCUUCUUUUUUUCCUCUUUUCGGAUACACUGUAAAAUUUUGACUCAAAGCAAAAUGUAGUUUAAUUUCUAAAAUGCACAUAAUAAAAUGAGUCUUUUUCUUUUAUGAGAAUGGAAUGUCCUGUUGAAAUUGUAAACUAAACUCAAGCUUGAAAAUGUGCUUCAUUGUUCUAGACUUUCAGAGGAACAUCAUUGAACUGAAUUGGCCAGGUUGUGGAUUUUCGUUCAGUCCAAAUGGCCAGUGAGCCAUGGUAAAGCUCACGUGUAGCUUUCUGUUGAGCUUAUAUUAACGUUACAAGAUCGUCGUGCUUCUUCGUGCUCAAACACACAAGGAUAAUGUGCUGGAUAAUUUCAAGUCUGGCAAGUCCUGCUUGCUAGCUAGCUAGCUAGCGCGCUAACGUGAGGUUUCAAAUGUGGAUAUCAUUUAGUUCAUUAGCCACCCAAGACGCAUGUACGAUGUGCUGGAUUUGUAGAAUUGAUCUUUAUAUAUAUAUAUAUUAACGAACUCCAACUGAAUGUGAUACAUGACGAGAUGGGGCGUGUUUGAUUGGCACAUAAGUGAAAAGGUAAGAGAUUUGAAAGCAACAACAUCAUCAUCAACAACAACAACAACAACAACAACAAUAAUAAUAAUAAUAAUAAUAAUAAUAAUAAUAAUAAUAAUAAUAAUAAAUAUGUUUUCACAGCUGAUGAAAAACGUUUGUCCGAAUUGUCCUUAUUCUCUGGAAACGCUGAUUUCAGAUAAAAUGGCCAAAUGUACUUUUUACUUUUUUAAACCAAUUUUGUACAAUUAACUUGAAGGAAAUUUUGAUUUAAGUGGUUAAAUAUUGCACAAUUAAAACGAGUAAAUCCA